rnacentral:rRNA from 1 species
UUGGANUGGGGGAACCCUGACCAGCGANCCNCGUGGAGNAUGAAGGCCUUUGGGUUUCCAACUCCUUUNGUNGGGGAAGAAAUGCGAUCAGGUGAACAAUCUGGUCGUUUGACUGUNCCCGGCGAAUAAGCUCCGGCUAACUCCGUGCCAGCAGCCGCGGUAACACGGGGGGAGCAAGCGUUGUUCGGAAUCACUGGGCGUAAAGGGCGUGUAGGCGGUCAGGUAAGUGGAAUGUGAAAUCCCUCGGCUCACCCGAGGACCUGCAUCCCAAACUGCCUGGCUUGAGUAUGGGAGAGGAUGAGGGAAUUCCUGGUGUAGCGGUGAAAUGCGUAGAUAUCAGGAGGAACACCGGUGGCGAAGGCGCUCAUCUGGCCCAAUACUGACGCUGAGGCGCGAAAGCUAGGGGAGCAAACGGGAUUAGAUACCCCGGUAGUCCUAGCCGUAAACGGUGAUCACUAGGUGUUGGAGGCACCGACCCCUCCAGUGCCGCAGCUAACGCAUUAAGUGAUCCGCCUGGGGAGUACGGCCGCAAGGUCGAAACUCAAAAAAAAUUGACGGA